CCUACGGGUGGCAGCAGUGAGGAAUAUUGGUCAAUGGACGAGAGUCUGAACCAGCCAAGUAGCGUGAAGGAUGACUGCCCUAUGGGUUGUAAACUUCUUUUAUAUGGGAAUAAAACGAUCCACGUGUGGGAUUUUGUAUGUACCAUAUGAAUAAGGAUCGGCUAACUCCGUGCCAGCAGCCGCGGUAAUACGGAGGAUCCGAGCGUUAUCCGGAUUUAUUGGGUUUAAAGGGAGAGUAGGUGGUUUGUUAAGUCAGUUGUGAAAGUUUGCGGCGCAACCGUAAAAUUGCAGUUGAAACUGGCAGUCUUGAGUACAGUAGAGGUGGGCGGAAUUCGUGGUGUAGCGGUGAAAUGCUUAGAUAUCACGAAGAACUCCGAUUGCGAAGGCAGUUCACUGGACUGCAACUGACACUGAGGCUCGAAAGUGUGGGUAUCAAACAGGAUUAGAUACCCUAGUAGUC
rnacentral:rRNA from 1 species